AACGCGAAGAACCUUACCAAGGUUUGACAUACAGGGAAAAGCCGUAGAGAUAUGGUGUCCGUAAGGGUCCUGUACAGGUGGUGCAUGGCUGUCGUCAGCUCGUGUCGUGAGAUGUUGGGUUAAGUCCCGCAACGAGCGCAACCCUCGUUCUAUGUUGCCAGCGGGUAAUGCCGGGGACUCAUAGGAGACUGCCGGGGUCAACUCGGAGGAAGGUGGGGAUGACGUCAAGUCCUCAUGCCCCUUAUAUCUUGGGCUGCAAACAUGCUACAAUGGCCGGUACAGAGGGCUGCGAGACCGCAAGGUGGAGCGAAUCUCAAAAAGCCGGUCUCAGUUCGGAUUGGGGUCUGCAACUCGACCCCAUGAAGUCGGAGUCGCUAGUAAUCGCGAAUCAGCAACGUCGCGGUGAAUACGUUCCCGGGCCUUGUA
rnacentral:rRNA from 1 species